GGUGGUGUAGCUGAGUGGUCUAAAGCAUUGGAUUUAGGCUCCAGGCUUGAAAGAUGCAUGGGUUCAAUUCCCACCACUGACA